GUAACUUUGCAUGGAGGUAGAUGAGCAAUGCUCAGACAGCCUCCCCCAUUCCCCAGCCAUACGCCAACAGCAUCUUGAGGAGCUGCAGGGUGUUGUGAACAAGCACCAGAGCUGAACAAGGAGCUGAAACCUGGCACCAGUGUGAUGUGACACGUCUACCACGAUUUCCUCCUUGGUUGAAGUGCUUCAUCGUACCUCUGCUGCACCAGUAAGAGCUGUGUGCUCCAACUGCUGGCCUCCAGCUGAGAGCGCCGUGCUUCCCUUCCCAAUGGAAAAGCAACAGAAGUGGCCAUUAAUACCGCCCAGUGAAGCAGAGCACAGCAUAGCAGGGUUUAAUGACACGCUUUGCUCCAGCGGAGGCAAUCCAUGAGGACAGAGCUACACAGACCUGUGCCCAGCACUGGCAUUUUGGCAUCACCGUAUGUCCUGCUCGCUUGAGUGGCAAUGCACAUGGAGCUCAAGUUACUUAUGCUUUGGAUUGCUGCCCUUUCGGUGAUAUAAAUGGAGUUGACUAUGCAGUACGGCAAUUUUUUCCUCUCAUAUAUAAUAUGACGCAUCUUUGCAAUAAUUACAGGUAAA
rnacentral:lncRNA from 1 species